rnacentral:rRNA from 1 species
UACGUAGGUGGCAAGCGUUGUCCGGAUUUACUGGGCGUAAAGAGCGCGCAGGCGGUCGAUCAAGUCGCGUGUGAAAGCCCCCGGCUCAACUGGGGAGGGUCACGCGAUACUGAUCGACUCGAAGGCAGGAGAGGGUAGUGGAAUUCCCGGUGUAGUGGUGAAAUGCGCAGGAUAUCAGGAGGAACACCGGUGGCGAAGGCGGGUCUCUGGGCCGAUACUGACGCUGAGGAGCGAAAGCGUGGGGAGCGAACAGG